rnacentral:lncRNA from 1 species
CUUGACAUGGCUAUCACUGUUUCAAUUUUACAGAGAAAACUUUCUUACGUCACAAAGUGUAGAUCCUAAGCAACCAUCACAUUUUCACUUUGUUCCAUCAUUGAAACUUUCCAAGGGAAAGUGCAUGACCUUUCAAGAGAGGUGGAAAAAUUCUCAGGGGAGGUGCAAAACGAUCUCUGGGGAGGUGCGCACCUCUCCACACUUCCCUCAAAAUCCGGCCUUGAUGCAAAUAAAUCACCACAGCUAGAAAGAGCAUAUUAAAAUAAGUAAAUUAUUGCAAAGUUUGGUUGCGAAUUGUUGCAAAAUACGGAAAAUAUAGCCUUGCAAAGUUUGCAAAUUUUGUACACUUUUGUAUUGCAUGCGAAAAUUGCAAUUAUACAAAAGAAUACAAAAUUUGCAAACUUUGGAAGGCUAUAUUUUCUACAUAUUUUAC